CACAUGGGUGAACGAGAGACGGCAGCCCUUAGCGUGCAGAGACCUACGAUUUUACAACAAAAGAAAAGUACAUCUUACAUAUUCAAAAGAACACCAAAGGUGAGACUCAUUCCUGCUCUAGCCCUUUACACCAGGUAAAGGGGAUAAAGAAGUUCUACAAAGUUCUGGAUCCAGCCAGGAGAGAAUUUCCUCAGUGAUGGAACUGAAGAAGACAGUCACAGGCUGCUUUUUGAAGGUCUCCACAAAAGCCCUGGUAUAGCAGGGUUUGCCUUUGGUCCACAGUUAAAAGGACACACAACAGCAGCGGAGCACUGAAUGGAUGCAGCAGAACAAAUGUAAAGGAUUGAAGUUAUUGCAAUUAUAUAAAAAAUGGGGAAAGAGGGGAGAUACAAACGCCCUUCUGUGAAAUAACCCUCUAUCUUUUAUCCAUAUUCAGUGCACAUUUCCUAUACUUAAAGUAUAUGAAAAGUGUACUAAUAUAAAACUAGUGGGAUUUCUUUUUUUUAAAGAAACAGGUGACAAGAGAAGAGAGGAGGAGACAGAGAAAGCAGGGGACAGGAGGAGAAAUAUGCUAUAAAUUCAAGACAACAGUAUGCAGAUAUGAAAUCAAUGAAAGGGUCCUAUACCUCUUUUGAUGGAACCCGGGAGCCUUUCCUUUUAUUCCACCAUGUUUCCAGCAUUGCAAUGAAACAGGAGAGGACAAUCCCAGCAGCCAGGAUACAAAACACCCCUGCAAAGCUCUUUAUGUCCAGGGCGCCUCCUUUCUGUUUGGUAUCCACUGAUGAGUAUAGGUCACACUGACCAUUCUUUGGCCACCAUUUAUGCUUCAGUAUAUCCAUGUCUCCAUUUUGCUGAAGUUCUAAAAUCCUUGGGGAGAAAGUACAGAAUCACCGAUUAUGUCAAUGACAACUGAAGCUUACAUUUGUACAACUGAAAGCAGAGAAGUGGUUGAGAACGUGACCAUACCACUAUUCCAUCCCAUGCAUGUGGAUGGCAAAACAGAUGAGUUCACAAGGGAUGACUAAUAAACCAGAUUGAGGAAGUUUCUUGGCUGGAA